UGAAUUUCCACCUUCAAGACGUUUCGCUGAGAGGGGUGUUGCUGAGGGUGUGUCGCAGAAAUAGUUUUCGCGAAAAAUGCCCCAUUUCUCCGCCUAGGGUGCCCGGAUAAUGCUCAAAUGAGCCCCAAAGUGUACUGAAGAACGUGCAAAAGUGAACUAGAGUGCGGAUUUCUGUGCUACCCAACGUCUUCCCGGUGAAAAAGUGAUCUCAAAAAAAAAUGGGGUUGAUGGAGCCCGUCGACACCACACACCACUACGAAGCUCCCCUAAUUGCAAAAUUGCUCCACAAGCUACCCCACUACAAUAUCACCUUCCAUCGCAUUGCUAAUACUACGUUCCGGCCAACGGAUGCCGUCUACUUGGAGAGUCUUGGAAUUCUGGGCUCUGUUCCGGCUGCUCUGUUGAUUGUAUCACUCUUUGGGCUCUUGCUCUACCUCAUGACGCGUUGCUGCGACCGGAAGCCACGUCCUGCCCACUCCAUAAAGAGCCUCAAGAUUACCCUUUCAAUCGUCACGGUGUUGUGUUGCGCAGCCAUCGGUCUGGGGCUCUACGGCAACGAUGAUUUGCACAAUGGGCUCCUGGAAGUCCUCACAGCGGGCAGGAAGGUGGAUAAUCUCGUAUCUUCCGUGAGGAAUCAGACUCAUAUCCUGGAGAAUACUUUGGCAAUGAAGAUUCGCCCGCAGCUUGUGGAAUUGGCGGAUAUUUUUGACCAGCCCGCUUCGAAUCAGACGGCUCUCUCGCAACUGAUUAUGGCUCUCAAUGUUGUUCAGGGAAAUGUGACUAUCGCCAUUAAUGCUGCUGGGGAUAUUCGUCGUCCCCUGAUGGGUAUUGUGAUGUCGGGAUUCCUCAAUAUGGGUGAUCAGUGGGAGUUAAUUCGCUGGCCAGGAACUGUGGCCAUUUUGGCGCUUCUUCUCGUACUCUGUGCUGUUCUCCUUGUUGGCGUGGCUCGGCACUCGCGAUGUGCUCUGAUUCUCUUCAGUGUGUGCGGAUUGCUGGCCGUGACGGGAUCCUGGCUCAUGUCAGGAUUGUAUCUGUCCAGUUCGGUAGCUGUUGGGGAUUUGUGCAUUGAUCCAGCUGAAUAUCUCGCCUCGGAAGCUCCGAGUGAGAUGCCAACGGAUGUCCUGCUGUACUACACUCAGUGUGAGAGUGUUCGCUCAAAUCCCUUCACGCAGCGUCUUCGGGAAUCUCAGAAUGCCAUCAAUAAUGCACGCACUUCCAUGUCCACGGUGUCCAAGGUUUCGCUUGUUCUCUUCAAAUCUGCUGGGCUACAGCCGAAGUUGGGUGCAGUGACGGCUGAUUUGAAUCUCAGCGAGCGGCUCCUGACCCAGCUCACUGCCCUCGUGGAUUGCAAAGCUAUCCACUAUAACUAUUUGACUGCAGCACGUGGACUCUGCGAGGGAGGACUCUUGGGAUUGGUACUCAUGCUUAUUGCCAGCUUCAUUGCGGCUAUCCUGCUUACUGUCAUGGUCUGGGUGGAUUCUCACACAUGGAUCUACAUACGAAAGAGAAAUGAUUAUUCCCAAGUGGAUGAACCGUCAUACAUCUCCCAUCAGCCACAGCAGAAUCAUCAAAAUAUGACCAGAACACUGCCCAGGAAUCACAAUGGACCACCGGCAAUUAGUGGAUCUCACACUCUCGCCCAUGCUGGGCGAAAGCAUCAUGAAAUGAUGGCACACCCACAUGUGCACCCGCAUCAUGGCACAAUGCGCCCCAUGGGAACACACACCCUGGGUCGUUUGCCAUCCCACAACCACAGCCCGGGCCACAUGCCCGGUCCCAACAAUGGGAAGUACGCCACACUCAGCAAGCAAUGCAAAACGCUAGAGGCGAACGACUUUUACUGAAAUUCAGCCGCCUGUGGCGACCCGCACGGCAACUCGUCCCACGCCCACCAUCAUCAACAUCACUAUUCGGAUGGGCAUCAGGUGCAAAUUCAGGCGCACCAUCAAAUGCAACAUCAACCACUCGCCGUGGGCUCUAUGGCGACAAUGAGACGCCCUGUGGCGCGUGAGGACGCCAUCCCGAGCUCCAAUGUUGUGGAUAGUGCAAUGUUUGAGCGUGAUAAGCAAAUCUACAAAUGCUCAACAAUGCGCCAAGGUGGGCGCUUUGAUCAGCGCGCCAUGAAGCCCGCCAUCCUCAAUUGCCCACUGCCGGAGAUUCCGCGCAAGGGUGACGAGCAGGUACUCUCGGCGGAAGAGCUGAAGGUAUCCACGGCACGCAAUCACCCACAACGAACACUGAAACUGCCACCAAAUGCCAAAGCUAUUCCACCACCAAAGAUUCUCUCACCGCUUCCGAGUGAAUUGGCUGGUGGGGCAGCUAAGGUGCCAGCGCUUCCGGCAGCUACGAAUGGUGAGAAAAUUGGUGCGGCUAAAUCCCCAAUUGUGGCACAUCCACCCGCCACAACGCCCACUUCCAUUAACCCCAAUGACGAGUCUAACUAUGCCGUGACUGAGUUGUAAAAAAAAGAUAUCGGGGUCGUUGCAGGCUUUCAUAAUUCACAUUCUCGAAAAAAAAAACCAAAAGAAACCAAAAAAUUAUGAAGACUUAAAAAAUAAAUAAAGAAAAAGACGCAAUAGACGAUACAAAGAAUGCCAAUAAAAAGAACCAAAGAUUAUAUACACAAAUUUCUGUGCGAAAAAAAACAAGAAGAAAUCACUCAAUUUUCUAGUAACAAUUUUUGAUCUCAAUCCUUUGUAAAGAAAAAAAGACGAAUAUUUGAAAGAUGAAAAAAAAAAGUAUUGUAAGGAAAUUAGAGUUUAUUGAGGGCUAAAAGGAGGAAAAUACUCAAAAAGCAAAUUGAAAAAAAAAAGUAAUUAAAUGUCUAAUGUAUAUUUAUAUUCGAGUACGUAAAUAGGGAGAAUAAUGUUGGCAAAAGGCGGCUGAAAACCCUCUUGCACAGCUGAGAGGACCCAUAUAACCCAAAAACUUAUUGAUAUUAUCAAUGUGAGAUGACACAAGAGAUUUAGAGAUGAAGGAUAUAGGUCGGAAAGGGAUUUUAUUCAUCUAUAGGGUGUCCCAAGAAUUAUGCAUAAUUUGCGAUUUAUUUAUUCUUGUCAAAAAAAAUUUUUAAAGAAUAUUUCGUUUCGUAAAUAACGUUUAAAAAUUGAUUUUUAGGAAUAUCUGAUUAGCACAUAAUUCUUGAUGCAAAUUUUUAAAGACUUGAUAGAUAAAUUAAAAGAAGAGUUCGUUAAGGCAACUUUCUCAUCUUAGAAAGUUCAUAGACUUCUUUAAAAAAUCAUUUAAUGUUUAAUUUUUUUAACAUCUGACAAGUUGAAUAAUUUUUAAAAAUUCUCUUUAAUUUUUUUUUUAAACAUGAAAGUGUAUUUUAACUUCUAAAGCAAUUCCUGAACCGUUUCAACUUUAAGGGUAUUUAGACACCUAAACUCGCCUAGGCUGCCACUCGGACAUAUUGAAAACCAAUAAAAAGUUAGCACGUUGCUAUCUGCAAUCGUUUAGCCUUAGAGGCGAAUACAAAAUGAACUAAAAAUUAGCAAAAACUAAGAAAGACUUCAGAAAGCUUCUGAAACGUUACGUUUUUUGUGUUUCGGGAGUCUCUAAAUCUUUCUUUUCUAUUUUCUGAUAUUCUAGAAAAAUAUCGUAGAAUUGUCAAAGUUUAUUCCUUUAGUUGUGUUUUAACUGAUGAAUAAGCAUAGUAAAAAUCUUUAAAGACUAUUCUUAAAGAUUUCUGAGACAGCAAAUUGUUUAAAGAAUAAUUUAACCCUUUCGCAUCCGCAUGAAACAUUGAAACAUGCGAUCAUUUUAUCGCGAUUUUAUUCUGUAAAGUGCUUUCAAAGACCAUUUCGGUUUCAAAACGUCUUCUUUGGCAUUUUCUUCGUAAUCUUGGAAAAAUAAUUAAAUUCUUUUAAAUUAAAAAAAAGCGCGAAAGGGUUAAAAGCUGUCAAAAUCUUCCAAACUUUGAUUCAAUUUCUAAGAGAAAAAAGAAAGAUUUUUGACAGAAUCGAUCCCAUAUAAUUCUCAAUUCUUUGAGUGAGAUAAUAUAGAAAUAUUUAUAGACUGAAAAUGCAUCUAUAACUAUCCUAAACUAAUGGAAUUUGUAGAAAAGUUGCAAGAAAUUGUCUUCCUAAUAAUUACAAAGUCCUUUAGUUCUUUAUAAGAAAACUUUGUAAAUUUUUUUUGUAGAAUUUUCAAAAUGAAAUUUUUGUAAAAUUUCAAUAUUUUUCAUGUGAAAGUUUCGUUGCGAAUUACGAAGAUUUCAAGUAACGACGAUAUUGGGACACCCUGUAAUUUUGAUGAAUCCGUUGAAUCCUCAAUGUUGAUGAAAAAGAAAUUCUCAUUAAUAAUCAAAUGAAUAAUCAUUAAGUAAAAAAAAAUGAAAGAAAAAAAACUAAUAAUUAGGGAGAAGAAAUUUAAAAAAAAGAAGAGAACUUUUUAAAGAAAGAAAAGGAUUAUAUAAUGAAAUGAAUAAGACUCGCUCAUUUUUUCUACAUUUUACAAAACACACUCCACUUUUUUAUUGAAUCUCCUUUCUCUCCUGGUUUUUUUUUUCUAAACAAAAAUUUAUGUGUUUUCCUACGAAUAAAUAUACUGAAACAAUUUUUGUAAAAUAUUAUACUUGAAUACUUUUUCACUGGUUCUUUUGUAAUGCCACAACAAGAAAAAUUAAAAUAAAUAAAUAAAAUGAUAAAAAAGAAUCUAUUUGUAAGUUAGGAAGAAGAUGAAAAAAAUACUCAUAGUUCAUAUUUAAAAGAAUGAAGAAAAAAACUAAUCAGGAGAAGCAAAAUAGCGUUGAUAGAAUUGCAAUAGAAAGGUUUUCUAGAAGUUUAUUAAUAAAAAAAAAAAGAAUUAAGAAGAGAGGAAAGAAAGAGAAAUGGAGGAGUGAGAGAAAAAUAGUGCAAUAAAAUUUGUUUGAAAGUUUAUUUUUAAAAUUUAUAAUCUAAUAUAUCAUCUCAUCUAAAAAAAAACUAAAAUAAUAUUUUUCUUUUAAUUUAAACAACUCAUCACAUUAUUGUGCAAUAAAUUCACCUGUUUGGGAUGCUUUUCUGGGGACUACGAGUCUCACAGUGAGACAAAUUUAUUUAUUUUUUUGUUUUUCUAAUAAUAUUUUAAAGAAUUAAAUAAUUAUUAAUAGAGAAUAGAAGAAACUCAACAAAAUUAUCUUUUUUUCUCCGUUAUGGAGAAAAUAAUUUAAAGAAAAAAAAACAUUUAAAGCAUAGUAAAAAAAAGGAAAACUGGAAAAAUUAGAAAUGCUGAAGAGAGAGAGAGAAAGAGAGUAAAAUAAAGUGAUAAGAAUAAA